UACAGAGGUCUCAAGCGUUGUUCGGAUUCAUUGGGCGUAAAGGGUGUGUAGGUGGCGCCGUAAGUCGGGUGUGAAAUUUCGGAGCUUAACUCCGAAACUGCAUUCGAUACUGCGGUGCUUGAGGACUGGAGAGGAGACUGGAAUUCAUGGUGUAGCAGUGAAAUGCGUAGAGAUCAUGAGGAAGACCAGUGGCGAAGGCGGGUCUCUGGACAGUUCCUGACACUGAGACACGAAGGCCAGGGAGCAAACGGGG
rnacentral:rRNA from 1 species